UACGUAGGAGGCAAGCGUUGUCCGGAAUCAUUGGGCGUAAAGGGCGCGUAGGUGGCCCGGUCAGUUCGUGGUGAAAGCGCGGGGCUCAACCCUGCGUCGGCCAUGAAUACUGCCGCGGCUGGAGCACUGUAGAGGCAGGCGGAAUUCCGGGUGUAGCGGUGGAAUGCGUAGAGAUCCGGAAGAACACCGGUGGCGAAGGCGGCCUGCUGGGCAGUUGCUGACACUGAGGCGCGACAGCGUGGGGAGCAAACAGG
rnacentral:rRNA from 1 species